AUUGCCGUGAAUCAAUUAUAUGGUUUUAUUAGCAUUUCAUUAUCAUACAAAUUAUAUGUUUUUAUUAACAUUCAUUAUCACACAAAUGUACUCAUCUAUAAUUAAUAUUAUUUUCAACAUGCAAUUCUUUUUUUCCCAUAGACGUCUCACAACAACGCUUUGUACAAUUUACACAACUUUACACAAUUUUUAUCAACACAAUCUUUUAAAGGCGUAGAAAGAGAUCUCGAUCAGAACGAUCGAUGAGAUUUUUACACUCGUAAAAGCUGACGUAUGAGACGGAGCGAUAAACGUUCGCGCGGCCGAGGCAAUCCUGCGGAUAGAAAAGUAGAGAAUCGUUCCUGUAGGAAAGGAGGUGAAGCCCUCAUCUCUCGCCGUAGAUCUUCAAAGCUCGUCGCAACUUUCAGCGGAUGAGUUGUUGGAGCGAUUUAGGCGUUACCGCGGGAAUGGUCUUUUCGCCUCUUCGUUCCUUCCGCUUUCUCUCGGUUCCUCUCGCAUAUCUACCCCGUCGAGUUCUUUCUCCCUCCAUCCCCCCUCUCUCUCUCUCUCUCUCUUUAGGUUUCUGGCAGACUCUCUACAAGCCGGAGAGAGCCAUGCCGGUAUUUACACGUCUCCGUGGCGCGCGAAACAAAGAAUUAUUAUUUGUAUGCCCUCGUGGGUGGCGGAGGAUUUUGCAGUUCACAAACUAAGUUAGCAGCUACAACUCCGUGGCUUGGUUUGGAGGUGCCGGUAGUGGCAUAGGAGUCGAGCGGGUGAAGAGGGUGGAUGUGGGUGCCGCGGUGUCCGGAGGUGUCGGAGAGGGGGAGGAGAAGAACUGUAGGUGCCUGCCCGCGCCCAUCCCGGCAGCCUGCCUCUCUACGGUUUCUGAGAUUAUGUGUUGCGGAUAUACGGGAGUUACAGCCCUGAUGUCGGAGGAGGUCUACGUACGUAUGUGCGCGCGGGAGCUCGCCUCUUCGCUCUCUCACCUCGGCGCUCUAUAUUUCUCCCCCUUGUCUCUCCUUUCGGGCAGCACGGUAGCGCCCAUUGUAUUUUCGCACGAGUGUACACUUUUAUAAAUCGUCUGACGUACCGGGCCACCACCACCACUACCGCCGCCGCCGCCACCACCACCACCACCACCACCACCACCACCACCACCACCACCACCACCACCACCACCACCACCACAUCGCCAUGCGAGCCGGCACCGGAUUAGAUUAGCAGUGAGUUAUAACGCCUCGGAGGAGCGAGCGAGAGAAAAAGGGCGCGGGGGCGAGGGAGAGAGGCGUCUUUCUUUCAAAGCCCUAAUACGCGAGUCUGGGGGACCUUUGAUCCAUUUUGGAGUAGACGACCCGCAACGAAAAUAGAUCUAACUGUUAUGCACGCGGAAACUUGAGGUAAAUUCCUUUGUACUCGAAAAUAGCGGACGUAUUUAUUGCGAACGGUAUUCGCUCGCUGAAUUGCAAUACAUUUUUCUUGAAUUUCAUUGUCGUAUUCACCUGAGGAGAAACAUUCGGAAAUUUUGUACUUUGAAAGUAUAACGAGGCAACACGGACUCAAAUAAAGAAAAGAAUUUGUUGUUGCGUUACAACUUGAAGGAAUAGGUAAAUUGCCAAAGUUUAAUAAACCGCAAUACCCAACAAUAUAUGAAAUCCGCUGGAUAGGAAAUUAGUAUUUCGAGUCAUUACCGUCGAGUACACGAUUUUAUUAACUCAAACUCACUGCGUCACUUCCUGAAGCACGCUGCCCUACUUGGUACUCCACUAAUAAGCUUUCAUAACGAACAAUCUUGUAACCGAAGUAUUUCCAAGCAGGGAUGCAAAAUCUCUACAAUCGGGUCGUACCACCACAAAAUAACUUUGUCGUCCCGGUGAACUUCGAAAAACUUCCCGCUUUCGCGAAGAUUGGGAAUAAGAAUGCUGCCGGGGGUUUCGUGGACGCGAGUUUCUUAGUUCGGUAUCUGGCGAAAGGAAACGUAAACUGAGAGAAAUUCACCGGCGCACCAAGUCCCCGAGAGGUCCUUGUCUGUGGACUACCACCUUCUCCUACGGCGAACAGGCAGUCGCGAUGGGAAGGUCGGUCGGAGGAAAGCGUUCUUGUUGGUUCAUCGACAUGCACGCGAGCAAAAAAGCACGCCAACGAGUUAAAAACACGUACGAUGGUAGCAGGAAAAGCAGUACAGGUAAUCGUGGCCGCGGGGUAUACACUCUUUAAACUUAAAAUUCAGUUUUCGUAAUGUAAUCUGUAAUCAAGCAUCCAUGUAAUCUCUUGCAUUUUUCCUGCGCAUGAUAAGGUAUGAUGUAUUGAUUUAUUUAUAAAAUAGUUCAUUUCGACAUAACGACCGACUUGUACCCUCGACACACUUGUACAAAAACAUCUAUCUUUCUUAUAUCAAAUUUGAUUUAAGGGAAACCUGAAUUUUACUGCAUUUUAAUACUCGUACAUUAUCAAUUUCAUUACCUUUCUUUAGUUGUUAAAUUAUUUGUAAUUUUUGUUUCUAUAAGUAAUUAUCACACAGAUUCGACUAAACUAAAUAAUUCCAAUUUACUAUUUUUAGUUUAAACUAUUUUCUAUUUUUAUCCUUUUAUCUUUCCUUAUCCGUAGAAAAUAGAAGACUACUUUUUUAAUUCAAUUUGAUUUCCAGUUAUAAAAAUCACAAAAAGUUUUUAGAAGAUUAACGUGUCAAUAAAAGAAGAUAUCAGUGGUAAAAUGGGAGAGGCAUGUCGCUCGAAUGUAGCGAUGAAUAAUCGCACUCCGAGGCUGGCUGCUUCUUCAGAAUUAAAAUUCAGUUUCGCGGUCUAGCUUGUAAGCAAGGUACGAAGCAAACUUUCAUUUCCCAUCCGGUGAAAUAUCGUGUAUUUAUUUGUCUGUGAAAUCCUCGGUUCCUCGUCUCGCCCACCGCCUACCCUCCCGCACCCCCAGGCUUCGGCGCCUCUUUUGGGCACGGGAGCCCGCAGAAACCGUGCUGCUACGCCGAGGCGGCAGCUAUCUACGUUUCUACCGUUUUCACGAAAUUAAUAUAUCCCUCAUAUACUUUGCAUAUUAUUGCAAUAUUCCGUAGCUAUUACUCGUCCGCCUUUUCCUACCUCACCCGCGUCUGUUCCCGCCGCGCCCCGUCAGCGCCCGCGAUAUCGCGGCAGUCGAAAGAUGUACUGAUUCCGCAUCCCCAACCAAAAGAUCUACGCUCUACAUUCCUAAUUCUCGCUGUCUCGUAUCGUCUGCCUCUGUUUGAAAUACCUCACCUCUGUUCCGCGAUCACGCUGAUUAUUUAAUGUCAGAAGUUGGAACGAGAUAUUAUUUGUCUAGCACCGACGCGAGUCGAACGGGCACCGUUUCGCUAAAAAUAAUUUCAUGAUUAAGAAUAUUUAGAGUAAGUGCUACUAAAAUUAAUAUAUCCUUGCCGUCAGCCACGCGCUGUGAAAGCGAUCGUGGCGUUACGGAAAGAAUAAAAGAGGGAAAUAAUAAAUUUCAAGAAACGUAUAACUCUUUUUCAAGGACUUAAUAACGACAAUUUGUGAAACUUACGAGAUCUACACUCGUUUAAUAUUCACUAAACUGCCGUGUACCUCAUGUACGAUUCUGUGACAUUAAUCUUUAGUCAUUUAAUGAAAGCACACGAUCCAUAUCCAAUUACAGAUUGUGUUACAUUUUCUAUUGAAAUAGAUGGAUGUUUAAAACUAAUUACAGGUGUACAAUAGCUUCAGUUUAAAUAUAGCGUCGUUAUCAGAAUCUCUGUCAGUAAGGAGAAGAUUAAUUCGCAGCCGGUUCAGUGACAUCCGCAAAUUAGUCUAGAAGUAGCUACGUCUGACCUCCUUCUAUUUAAAGUACCAUCGCCCAAUGAGUUCUAAUGAAAAAUCGCGACUCGAAUCGAUAUUUAAAUUGUCAAGAUUCGAAAUCAGUCGCUAGGUAUCGUUCAGUGUACUGAACGUGAAAAAUUCAAGGGUGCGCAUGCUCUCUCAAAUUGGAAAUCCAGCGCGAUGGAAGGAUACAGCUCCCCGUUAGUGGCGGAGCGAUAAUCCCGCGACUAAUAAUCUAAUGUGCGCGAUUCAUCGCACCCUCAUUUUGAUAAUUUUAACGUUCCUCUCCUUGAAAAUAAUUGCGACAUGUCACAAAUAUGAAUCGCGUUUGCGUUCGGUAGGCAUCGCCAGGUUUACAUCACCACCUCGUUAGACAAAAUAAUAUAAAGUAAGCAUUACAGUAGCCGCAUGAUCAGCGAAUUAGUAGAAAAUACAUAGCGUAACCUAAAAUAGUUUCUCUUCUUCUACGGUUAAUUUAAUCUAGACACAAAGUUAGCUCGUGCGCGUUAACCCGUUGCUGCCAAAAUAGCAACUUAGUUUCUAAGCUAAUAUGUAACUGUCUUGCAUUGAGAUAAUUAAUGUUUACAUUCACAUACGCACAUAUUGGAUUCUAAAUCUUCUUGCUGCGAACACGCUGGGCGUUCAUGCGUGCGACAUGCACCUUCUUUCGAUGAAUCUGCCAGGUCUGUCCUGUUCGGCUGGCAGAAACUUUCGCGGGGUUAUAAUUAUCAUUCCAGCGUAAACAGCGUACUAUUUUCCAAGAAUCCGAAUGACUGCUGACAAAUGCGAUUGCAAGGAGCGUGGAAAUUAACAUUAAAAUCGCUUCUAAACGCUACGAGCAUCGAAAAGACGGGGAGAACGUAUAUGCACUAAAUAUACAUUCGUACUAAAUUUAAAUUGAUAUUAAACGAUAUUGCCCGACAUAAAUCAGUUACAGCCUGCAUAAUCUAUCCGUAUUUCAUAACCACUCGCAAUCAUAAUUGCAAAUCAAUACGCAUUGCUUGACAAGUGGGCUUCUGCUUAAAUUUAAACUCGGAUAGCCCCUCCGCUGUGUGUAUUCCUCCUUCAUCCUCUAACCGUCUCGUUCUCUCCCCCCCCUCUCUCUCUCUCUCUCUCACAUUUGCAUCUGCUAAGUGAUAAGUAAACCCCCCGUAAACAUAUCCGGACAGACGAUAAGCGUGAAAUAAAUCGCGAAACUUUAAGUAGUUAUAAAUCUAUACUUACACUGAGGUCGUGAGAAAGAGAGAAAGAGAGGAAAAAGAGAGAGAGAGAGAAAGGAAAGACGCCUUUUGGUCUCGAAGAAAUGAAAAUCAAGGGCGGAAGGUUGGAACGAGGAACGAAAUGAGAGAGAGUCUAGAAAGGGAAGCAAACAUAGCGGGAGGCAUAAAAUAUAAUUGCAUCGGGUGGCGUCACUGUCUAGUACACCCUCUCCGCGCCUGAUAGAACACCACCGCUACUCGCUUCUCGCAUUUUAAUGCCUAAAUUAUGUUCGGCAUUAGAGAUAGGCUGCCUCAAGAAAGCCCCCAUUGAUUGUGACCCUAGAUGCCGAGUCAGUUCGCGUCUUUGUCUCAACGAGUUUGUUAUUUGCGAAUAUGAAAUGCGGAACACCUCGAAAUUGCUCCAAGUUUCGCGACAGCUAACACGUAAAACUGCGGAAUGAAAACAAAUGAGCGUGUAUUCAGACACUUAAAGAAAAUGUGUAAAAAGACAUCGAUCUUUAUUUAAAAAAGAAAUAGAAAGUUUUUUUCUGUGAGUUAUCUUAAGUAGGGUAAAUUAGGGUAUGAUGGUCAUACGGCUAGAAGAUGGCCAAUGGCUAUAAUUUCUCCAAUAAUUGCUAAAUAAUGUGUUGUUGUAAUUAUUUUUAAAGAUAAUCAAUAUUUACCAUAGUUUAUGCGCGUAUACUAUUCGAAACAGUAAUAUUAUGGACAUUAUACUAUGUUUUUAUUUUUGACUGCUUGUAAAGUUUUUCAUAUAUUCAUUAAAAAUUGUCACAACAUCGAAUGAAUUAUAGUUGAGUUAUCACAAUCAACGUUAGACACAUAACGAAGGUAUGUAAAUUGUAAUGUGCGAUUAUACAUUUUAUUUUAAAUAAAUACUAUAACUGUCUUUCUCUAACAGUUUGAGUAAGAUGGCCCAUGACUUUUUUCGGGAUAAGUGUUUUUAUGUAUUUAUUUUAUGUAAAAAAGACGAAAAUUGCGCACUAAAUGUUUUAAAUUUGUUCAAAGAUAUUUUUUGGUACUGAUAAUUUUAUUAAGCAUUUUUUUUUUAAUGUCGAUAGUGUUACAUGCUUUAAGCUUCAGUAAAGUAAUAUACUAAACGCUAUUAAAAAAUAAUAAAAACAAAAACUUUUCUGCAUGUUAAAAAUUAUGGCCAUCAUACCUGAGUUUACCUGUUUCAGAUUAUUAAAAUAAUAUUUAUAUGUACUUAACUGAAAAUUUUGGGUCAUUCUAUUAUUAUUUAUUAUAAAAAUUUAUAUUACGCAAUUAAAUUACCAUAUUGCUAUAACGACAUACAUAUGAAAAAUAUUUUUAGAAUGUUUUUUAUUAUUUUAUCACUAUGCAAAACAUUUAUAUUAUCGCGUGUAAUUAAAUGUAAUUAAUUGCAUAAUGAUUCAUUUUAGAAUCAUUAUAUGACGUCAUAAAAUAUAAUAAAUAUAAAUAAAUUUAAAUCGUUUCUUUAUGCUGCAUAAAAUAAGCUAAAUUUACUGUAAAAUUUAAGCAAACAAUUGUCAAUUUUGAUGCACUAAAUUUGCAUUUUCUGUACUCAAUAAAAAACUAAUGUUAUAAAUAAGUUAUUACUUUUUCUAAAAAUGUAAUAAUAAUUAUUAAUAACAUUAAUAAUUAAUACGUAAUUAUUCACCGCAAAGAAUUAACUUCGAAACAAUGUCGUUUUUCAAAAAGCUUACAUCCGGGAGUGUGCUUACAAGUGUAGAUCCUCUCGUAAUAUUAAGUUCAAAGGACGAGAGUUCGCGAUUCGCGAGCUGAUCUGCUGGAGAACAUUUGUUUAAUUAGCUCGCGCUGUCGCUGCUGACCGCGGGGACCGUUCGCGCUCGUCGUCUGUCCGUGGUGCGUUAAUAGGCUCGCACUUCCAAAUGGAUUUCGAGAUUUAUGCUAACGCGUCGCAUUUAUUCGCGCACCGUGGCCCACGGGUCCGCGUGCGUUUCGCAAUGCUACCAUACGCAGACAUUACGUGGCCGUUACCUGACACGCUACACGAAGCGAUCAUUAAUAGAACGAUAUACCUGUACAGAUUUGUUCCGAAAUGUCCCGAGUGCACACCAUAAUGCAGAAAUUACAGAGGGACAUGGCAUUACAAACAGAAUUUCCUAAGAAAGCAAUCGUUUUAAUAUAGAAUAAAGACGAAAAAUACGGAAAAUUUGUUUAUAAAUUAAUAUUACUGCGAUACAAGUAUCAAAACUACUAAUUUAUGUAGAACUCUUAAGAAGCAUAUUAGCUAUAACAUCCAAUUAAUGAAGUUUCCAAAAUUUACAUUCAAUUUCAGUAUUAACAAAACAAUGAAAAGAUCUGAAAGAUAAGAUCUACAAAAUAGAACAUAAUAUAGAAUACAGAUUUAACACGAAAACAAUAAUGAUUAACACAAUACAGAUAAACUUGUUUAUUUAUGUAAAUUGAUCAAAAAUACAGUUAAACAUGGUUCACAUCUUUAUUGUACAUAAAACAUCAAAUAACAUUAUUAUAUGUGAACAAUAAAAACACGAAA